AGCUGUUCGCUGCCGGGAGCACAGGCACUGGCUCACUGUUUGUCUCCGUCGUCCUCAGGACCACCUGUCCUGCCAGGCCUCCAGCUCCGCCCUCCCUCUCACAUCUGCCUACUGGCACCAUCAGCCAAAGGCCUUGGGAGCUGGCGCUGACUAGGCUUUCAGGCCUGGCUGUGGUCGCAGGUGCCCCCGCAGUCGGGCAAGCCAGAGGUCAGGAGGGACCUCCCCUCCUAGAUGACAGACAGGUGAUGGAAGGGCGGGAGGUGAGGAGAGGUGUCCCAAGUUCCACAGCAACCUGGAGGCAGAGCUGGGAGAGGAUGCCGUGAGCCCCACUCUGCCACAUCUCACUGCCCCCUUGGUGCCAGGGCGUCCGUGAAGGACAGAACAUUGUCAUCACUUCAAAAAGAUCUCACCUUUUUGCUGCUGCGGGUGGCAGGAUCGCCGAUGCCGGGGGUGGAGGAGCAGGGCUUUGGGAUGCUCCUUUCCUUUUCCACACACAGUUUCGAGCGAAGAGGCUUCAGUGUUUCCCUGAAGGCAUCUAGGUUAAUACACCUUUGAGAUGCCAGAAGUCAUAACCGUGAAGGCCUAACCACCCUCAAGAGAGCACAUGACAGUAAGUAUCCUGUCAUCUAAUCCCCGCCUUGCCUUCUCCCACCUCCAUGUAAUCUUCCUUACAUUCCCUCCUUAAUUUCAAAUUAAAAGAACCUGCAAAAAAGAACCUGCAUAAAAGAACCUUCU